CGAAAGUGGUUAAGCAAAUAAAUCCAUGCCUGGAAUUGGCCCCAAGUGGGCUUCUCGCCGAGCGAUUUUGUGAAUGCAGUUUGGUCUGCUGUUGCAGCCUUGGAGCGGAAGCGCUGUCUUUCCUGCCCUGUUUUCGGGUGAAAUCCGGCCAGUUCUAUCUGGCUCCGGCGAACUGGUAGCAGUGGCUGCAGGAGGCUCCGCCAACCCAUGCAGACGUCUUGAUGUUGCUUUGCGCAUGUGCAGAUGAUGGUGGCGCACACAUGUUGGUGAACCAGUAGGGAAGAUUUUGUGCAUGUGCAGAUGAUGACGGCGCACACAUAUUGCGAACCAGUAGGGCAGGAGUAGCCUACCCCACUCAUUCCAGCGGAAGAGGAUAGCUACAGAUCCUGUUUUCUAAUGAAUUCCAGCAAGUGUAUUCAAGGAAAAGAAGCUUUUCCACUGUGGCCCAUCCUUUGAAGCACUUCACCACCAGAGAUUUCCUACUCACGAGAUCAUCUACUAUGAAUUAAGCAACAUUUCUUUAAGGAGCAGCUUUCUGUGAUCUCACCCCCUCCCCCUGUUUUUACAAAUGCGGAUGAGACUGGAAGAACAAAGGAAGAGGCAAUUGUCCCAGAGCCAUGGAUUAUCAAAAAAACCAACCGGCGGCACAAACAGAAAAGAGGUAAUCGGGCUGCGAUCUUAAACAAAUUAAAAAAGAAAGGAAAUAAAACCCCUCUGCCUUCAAUUUUCCUAACAAAUGUAUGUUCACUUGCAAGUAAGAUGGAUGAAAUACUCCUCUUAAAUAAAUACUAUUCUGAUUUUCGCAACUCAGCAGUCUUAUGCUUCUCUGAAACCUGGUUAAAUGAAUCAAUUGAAGAUAGUAGCCUGCAUAGUUCAGGUUUUCAGAUUAUACGAUCAGACAAAAUUUCAGAAGCAUCUGGUAAAAUGAAGGGUGGAGAUUUAUGCCUAUACAUUAAUAUCAGCUGGCGUCAAGAUUUAUCUGUAAUUUACAAAUUCUGCGACAGCAAUUUAGAGACUUUAAUU